AAUUGGAGGGCAAGUCUGGUGCCAGCAGCCGCGGUAAUUCCAGCUCCAAUAGCGUAUAUUAAAGUUGUUGCAGUUAAAAAGCUCGUAGUUGAAUUUCGGGAUCAAUAUUUCGGUCAUGCCGUUGGUAUGCACUGUUAUCAUUGAUUUCUCACCUUCUAAAGAACCGUAAUGCCAUUAAUUUGGUGUUACGGGGAAUUAGGACUGUUACCUUGAAAAAAUUAGAGUGUUUAAAGCAGGCUCACGCUUGAAUACAUUAGCAUGGAAUAAUGAAAUAGGACAUCCGAUUCUAUUUUGUUGGUUUCUAGGAUCGAUGUAAUGAUUAAUAGGGAUAGUUGGGGGCAUUAGUAUUCAAUUGUCAGAGGUGAAAUUCUUGGAUUUAUUGAAGACUAACUACUGCGAAAGCAUUUGCCAAGGAUGUUUUCAUUAAUCAAGAACGAAAGUUAGGGGAUCGAAGACGAUCAGAUACCGUCGUAGUCUUAACCAUAAACUACGCCGACUAGGGAUCGGAUGAUGUUAAUUUUUUAAUGACUCAUUCGGCGCCUUACGGGAAACCAAAGUGU
rnacentral:rRNA from 1 species